UACGUAGGGGGCGAGCGUUAUCCGGAUUUACUGGGCGUAAAGGGCAUGCAGGCGGUGCAGCAAGUCUCUGCUGACAGUCACGAGCUUAACUCGUGAAGGUGUAGGGAAACUACUGGACUUGAGACAGCGAGAGGCAGAGGGAAUUCCGUGUGGAGCAGUGAAAUGCGUAGAGAUGCGGAAGAACACCAGAGGCGAAGGCGCUCUGCUGGCGCUGAUCUGACGCUAAGAUGCGAAAGCUAGGGGAG
rnacentral:rRNA from 1 species